GACGAACGCUGGCGGCGUGCUUAACACAUGCAAGUCGAACGGAAAGGCCCUGCUUUUGUGGGGUGCUCGAGUGGCGAACGGGUGAGUAACACGUGAGUAACCUGCCCUUGACCUUGGGAUAGCUUCAGGAAACUGGGGCUAAUACCGGAUAGGAGCUCCUGCUGCAUGGUGGGGGUUGGAGAGUUUCGGCGGUUGGGGAUGGACUCGCGGCUUAUCAGCUUGUUGGUGGGGUAGUGGCUUACCAAGGCUUUGACGGGUAGCCGGCCUGAGAGGGUGACCGGCCACAUUGGGACUGAGAUACGGCCCAGACUCCUACGGGAGGCAGCAGUGGGGAAUAUUGCACAAUGGGCGGAAGCCUGAUGCAGCAACGCCGCGUGCGGGAUGACGGCCUUCAGGUUGUAAACCGCUUUCGCCUGUGACGAAGCGUGAGUGACGGUAAUGGGUAAAGAAGCACCGGCUAACUACGUG
rnacentral:rRNA from 1 species